GCGCGUAUUUACCGGCGAAAACUACCGGCGGCGAUUUUGCCGUCGGUAGAUAACGGCGGCAAGGCGGCGGCAUUGCAGGCGACCCGAAAUUUCGAAAUUACCGGCCAGUUACCGACGGCAAACUCGCCGCCGGUAUGUAACGGCGGCGUCGCCGUCGUUAAUGUUAAAAUACGCAUUAUUUAAUUAAAUUUAUAGACUUAGCGGCGGCAAAAUCCCCGCCGCUAUAUAGCGGCGGCAUUUGCCGUCGGUAACCUUUAAAAUAUAGGGCAGCGGGUUUGCCCAUUUUUUCAGUAUCUGCGCCGCAACCAACCCCCCCACGCGAACAGAAACUACCCCCCCAGCCCCUCCCCUGCUGCUGCUGCUCUUCCUUCGCCGCCGCCUCCGCCGCCGCCGACCGCCGCCGACCGCCGCCGACCCAGCAGUUCGACGACCUCGUUUCACCGCCUUCUUCACGACACCCACCGGAAACCACCACCAAUUUGCAAGAAUGAGUGAUAAUCGUACGUGGAUGUACGCGAGAUACAAUGAUCGUACCGCAUUUGAAACGGGGCUUGAGUUUUUCCUUGAGUGGGCGUUCAAUCAAACGGCGUACACAGAUGGACAAGGUAACAUUAGGUGCCCGUGUAAGAAGUGCAAGAAUCAAGCGUAUUUAGAUGUACCUACGGUCAGAGAACAUGUUAGUAGGCGUGGAUUUGUCCUGAAUUACAAAGUUUGGGUUUGUCACGGGGAAGCACCGCUGUCUAUGCCGAGAGAACAUGCUA